rnacentral:rRNA from 1 species
UACGGGGGGGGCAAGCGUUGCUCGGAAUUACUGGGCGUAAAGGGCUCGUAGGUGGCUAACUAAGUCAGACGUGAAAUCCCUCGGCUUAACCGGGGAACUGCGUCUGAUACUGGAUGGCUUGAGUAUGGGAGAGGGAUGCGGAAUUCCAGGUGUAGCGGUGAAAUGCGUAGAUAUCUGGAGGAACACCGGUGGCGAAGGCGGCCAUCUGGACGGAUACUGACGCUGAGACGCGAAAGCGUGGGUAGCAAACAGG